CCUACGGUGUGCAGCAGUGGGGAAUAUUGGACAAUGGGGGGAACCCUGAUCCAGCGACGCCGCGCGAGUGAAGAAGUAUUUCGGUAUGUAAAGCUCUAUCAGCAGGGAAGAAAAUGACGGUACCUGACUAAGAAGCCCCGGCUAACUACGUGCCAGCAGCCGCGGUAAUACGUAGGGGGCAAGCGUUAUCCGGAUUUACUGGGUGUAAAGGGAGCGUAGACGGUGCAGCAAGUCUGAUGUGAAAUGCCGGGGCUUAACCCCGGAACUGCUUUGGAAACUGUGCAGCUAGAGUGCAGGAGAGGUAAGUGGAAUUCCUGGGGUAGCGGUGAAAUGCGUAGAUAUUAGGAGGAACACCAGUGGCGAAGGCGGCUUACUGGACUGUAACUGACGUUGAGGCUCGAAAGCGUGGGGAGCAAACAGGAUUAGAUACCCCAGUAGUC
rnacentral:rRNA from 1 species